GGAAGUGCUGCUGAUUGUCGCGGACACGAUGGCUUCAAGGUUACUUCGCGGAGCUGGAGGGCUGGCCGCGCAGGCCUUGAGGGCUUGCAGUCCCAAGGGUGCAGCGCGGUGCGCUCCAUGGCCUCUCAAGGUGGCGUUCCUAGUGAUGACGAUCAGACGACUGGGUUGGAGAGGGAGAUCAUGUUGGCUGCAAGAAAGGGACUGGACCCAUACAAUAUACUGCCCCCAAAGGGAGCUUCAGGCACUAAGGAAGACCCUAAUUUAGUCCCUUCUGUCACCAACAAGAGAAUAGUGGGCUGUAUCUGUGAAGAGGACAACAGUACCAUCAUCUGGUUUUGGUUGCACAAAGGCGAGGCCCAGCGAUGCCCUAGCUGUGGGGCCUAUUACAAGCUGGGCCCCACCAGCUGGCACACUGAGCGCCUGCACUGAGUUACUCAAAAUAUGA